UGAGGAAUAUUGCGCAAUGGGCGAAAGCCUGACGCAGCGACGCCGCGUGGAGGAUGAAGGUUUUCGGAUUGUAAACUCCUGUUAAGUGGGAAGAAACGACAAAAUAUAAUACAUUUUGUAACUGACGGUACCAUUAAAGAAAGCACCGGCUAACUUCGUGCCAGCAGCCGCGGUAAUACGAGGGGUGCAAGCGUUAUUCGGAAUUAUUGGGCGUAAAGGGUGCGUAGGCGGCGUAUUAAGUCAACUGUUAAAACCUCCAGCCUAACUGGAGAUCAGCAGUAGAUACUGGUAUGCUAGAGGAUGGAAGAGAGAAGUGGAAUUCUUGGAGUAGCGGUGGAAUGCGUAGAUCUCAAGAGGAACACCAAUGGCGAAGGCAGCUUCUUGGUCCAUAUCUGACGCUGAUGCACGAAAGCGUGGGGAGCAAAACAGGAUUAGAUACCCUGGUAGUCCACGCCGUAAACGAUGAUCACUAGAUGUUAAUUCUGCUUGCAGAAUUAGUGUCGUAGCUAACGCGAUAAGUGAUCCGCCUGGGGGACUACGGUCGCAAGAUUAAAA
rnacentral:rRNA from 1 species